UGAGGGAUAUUGGGCAAUGGGGGAAACUCUGACCCAGCGACGCCGCGUGAGGGAAGACGGUCUUCGGAUUGUAAACCUCUGUCUUUGGGGACGAAGAAGGACGGUACCCAAGGAGGAAGCUCCGGCUAACUACGUGCCAGCAGCCGCGGUAAUACGUAGGGAGCGAGCGUUGUCCGGAAUUACUGGGUGUAAAGGGAGCGUAGGCGGGAUUGCAAGUUGGAUGUGAAAACUGCGGGCUCAACCCGGAGAGUGCAUUCAAAACUGCGAUUCUUGAGUGAAGUAGAGGCAAGCGGAAUUCCUAGUGUAGCGGUGAAAUGCGUAGAUAUUAGGAGGAACACCAGUGGCGAAGGCGGCUUGCUGGGCUUUUACUGACGCUGAGGCUCGAAAGUGUGGGGAGCAAACAGGAUUAGAUACCC
rnacentral:rRNA from 1 species